rnacentral:rRNA from 1 species
UACGUAGGGCGCAAGCGUUGUCCGGAAUUAUUGGGCGUAAAGAGCUCGUAGGCGGUCUGUCACGUCGGAUGUGAAAGCCCGGGGCUUAACCCCGGGUCUGCAUUCGAUACGGGCAGACUAGAGUGUGGUAGGGGAGAUCGGAAUUCCUGGUGUAGCGGUGAAAUGCGUAGAUAUCGGGAGGAACAUCAGUGGCGAAGGCGGCCUUCUGGUCCAGUACUGACACUCAAGUGCGAAAGCGUGGGGAGCAAACAGGG